UGCUCAGGAUGAACGCUGGCGGCGUGCCUAAUACAUGCAAGUCGAACGAGUUCUCGUUGAUGAUCGGUGCUUGCACCGAGAUUCAACAUGGAACGAGUGGCGGACGGGUGAGUAACACGUGGGUAACCUGCCCUUAAGUGGGGGAUAACAUUUGGAAACAGAUGCUAAUACCGCAUAGAUCCAAGAACCGCAUGGUUCUUGGCUGAAAGAUGGCGUAAGCUAUCGCUUUUGGAUGGACCCGCGGCGUAUUAGCUAGUUGGUGAGGUAAUGGCUCACCAAGGCGAUGAUACGUAGCCGAACUGAGAGGUUGAUCGGCCACAUUGGGACUGAGACACGGCCCAAACUCCUACGGGAGGCAGCAGUAGGGAAUCUUCCACAAUGGACGCAAGUCUGAUGGAGCAACGCCGCGUGAGUGAAGAAGGCUUUCGGGUCGUAAAACUCUGUUGUUGGAGAAGAAUGGUCGGCAGAGUAACUGUUGUCGGCGUGACGGUAUCCAACCAGAAAGCCACGGCUAACUACGUGCCAGCAGCCGCGGUAAUACGUAGGUGGCAAGCGUUAUCCGGAUUUAUUGGGCGUAAAGCGAGCGCAGGCGGUUUUUUAAGUCUGAUGUGAAAGCCCUCGGCUUAACCGAGGAAGCGCAUCGGAAACUGGGAAACUUGAGUGCAGAAGAGGACAGUGGAACUCCAUGUGUAGCGGUGAAAUGCGUAGAUAUAUGGAAGAACACCAGUGGCGAAGGCGGCUGUCUGGUCUGUAACUGACGCUGAGGCUCGAAAGCAUGGGUAGCGAACAGGAUUAGAUACCCUGGUAGUCCAUGCCGUAAACGAUGAAUGCUAGGUGUUGGAGGGUUUCCGCCCUUCAGUGCCGCAGCUAACGCAUUAAGCAUUCCGCCUGGGGAGUACGACCGCAAGGUUGAAACUCAAAGGAAUUGACGGGGGCCCGCACAAGCGGUGGAGCAUGUGGUUUAAUUCGAAGCAACGCGAAGAACCUUACCAGGUCUUGACAUCUUUUGAUCACCUGAGAGAUCAGGUUUCCCCUUCGGGGGCAAAAUGACAGGUGGUGCAUGGUUGUCGUCAGCUCGUGUCGUGAGAUGUUGGGUUAAGUCCCGCAACGAGCGCAACCCUUAUGACUAGUUGCCAGCAUUUAGUUGGGCACUCUAGUAAGACUGCCGGUGACAAACCGGAGGAAGGUGGGGAUGACGUCAAAUCAUCAUGCCCCUUAUGACCUGGGCUACACACGUGCUACAAUGGAUGGUACAACGAGUUGCGAGACCGCGAGGUCAAGCUAAUCUCUUAAAGCCAUUCUCAGUUCGGACUGUAGGCUGCAACUCGCCUACACGAAGUCGGAAUCGCUAGUAAUCGCGGAUCAGCACGCCGCGGUGAAUACGUUCCCGGGCCUUGUACACACCGCCCGUCACACCAUGAGAGUUUGUAACACCCGAAGCCGGUGGCGUAACCCUUUUAGGGAGCGAGCCGUCUAAGGUGGGACAAAUGAUUAGGGUGAAGUCGUAACAAAGGUAACC
rnacentral:rRNA from 1 species